AGAGUUUGAUCAUGGCUCAGAUUGAACGCUGGCGGCAUGCUUUACACAUGCAAGUCGAACGGUAACAGGCCGCAAGGUGCUGACGAGUGGCGAACGGGUGAGUAAUGCAUCGGAACGUGCCCAGUCGUGGGGGAUAACGCAGCGAAAGCUGCGCUAAUACCGCAUACGAUCUAUGGAUGAAAGCGGGGGACCGUAAGGCCUCGCGCGAUUGGAGCGGCCGAUGUCAGAUUAGGUAGUUGGUGGGGUAAAGGCUCACCAAGCCGACGAUCUGUAGCUGGUCUGAGAGGACGACCAGCCACACUGGGACUGAGACACGGCCCAGACUCCUACGGGAGGCAGCAGUGGGGAAUUUUGGACAAUGGGCGCAAGCCUGAUCCAGCAAUGCCGCGUGCAGGAAGAAGGCCUUCGGGUUGUAAACUGCUUUUGUACGGAACGAAAAGGCCCUGGUUAAUACCUGGGGCUCAUGACGGUACCGUAAGAAUAAGCACCGGCUAACUACGUGCCAGCAGCCGCGGUAAUACGUAGGGUGCAAGCGUUAAUCGGAAUUACUGGGCGUAAAGCGUGCGCAGGCGGUUUUGUAAGACAGGCGUGAAAUCCCCGGGCUCAACCUGGGAAUUGCGCUUGUGACUGCAAGGCUGGAGUGCGGCAGAGGGGGAUGGAAUUCCGCGUGUAGCAGUGAAAUGCGUAGAUAUGCGGAGGAACACCGAU
rnacentral:rRNA from 1 species